UUGAACGCUGGCGGCAGGCCUAACACCUGCAAGUCGAACGGUAACAGGAAGAAGCUUGCUUCUUUGCUGACGAGUGGCGGACGGGUGAGUAAUGUCUGGGAAACUGCCUGAUGGAGGGGGAUAACUACUGGAAACGGUAGCUAAUACCGCAUAACGUCGCAAGACCAAAGAGGGGGACCUUCGGGCCUCUUGCCAUCGGAUGUGCCCAGAUGGGAUUAGCUAGUAGGUGGGGUAACGGCUCACCUAGGCGACGAUCCCUAGCUGGUCUGAGAGGAUGACCAGCCACACUGGAACUGAGACACGGUCCAGGCUCCUACGGGAGGCAGCAGUGGGGAAUAUUGCACAAUGGGCGCAAGCCUGAUGCAGCCAUGCCGCGUGUAUGAAGAAGGCCUUCGGGUUGUAAAGUACUUUCAGCGGGGAGGAAGGGAGUAAAGUUAAUACCUUUACUCAUUGACGUUACCCGCAGAAGAAGCACCGGCUAACUCCGUG
rnacentral:rRNA from 1 species